rnacentral:tRNA from 1 species
GCCGAUGUGGUGAAAUUGGUAUACACGCUACCUUGAGGUGGUAGUGGCUUAAGGCUGUGCCGGUUCGAGUCCGGCCAUCGGCACCA